UUCUCUUGAAAAAGCCCCAAUUUAACCCAAAAAUCACGCCUUUUCUUUGCAAAUAUCCCCCACUUAACACAAAAUCAUGCUGUUCUCUAUGAAAAUCCCCAUCUAAAAAGAAAAUCAUGCAUUUUCGCUUGGAAAAUCCCCCAUUUAAGUGAAAAUCACGCAUUUUGGCUUUGAAAACCCCCAAUUUAACCCAAAAUGAAUUAUUUUCUCUUCGAAAUUCCCCAUUUAACGCGAAAAUCACACAUUUUCCCUUCAAAAAUACCCCUUUAAACAAAACUCACACCAUUUUCUCUAUGAGAAUCCCUGAUUUAAACUGAAAAUCACGCACAUUCUCUUCAAAAAUAGCUGUUUAACCCCGAAAAUCACGCGUUUUCUCUGCUAGAAUCACCCUUAACCCGAAAAUCAUGCACUGUCUCUUCAACAAUCCCCCAUUUAACCCCAAAAUCAUGCAUUAUCUCUUCAAAAAUACCCCAUUUAAACAAAAAUCACACAUUUUCUCUUCAAAAAUCCCCCUUUAUCCCCAAAAUCACACAAUUUCUCUUGCAAAGUCCCCCAUUCUACCCGAAAAUCUUGCCUUUUGUCUUGGAAAAUCCCGCAUUUACCCCAAAAUCAUGCAUUAUCUCUUCAAAAAUACCCCAUUAUCCCCCAAAUCACACAAUUUCUCUUGCAAAGUCCCCCAUUCUACCCGAAAAUCUUGCCUUUUGUCUUGGAAAAUCCCGCAUUUACCCCAAAAUCAUGCAUUAUCUCUUCAAAAAUACCCCAUUAUCCCCAAAUUCACACAUUUUCUCGUGGAAAAUCCCCCAUUUAACGUGAAAAUCACACUUCUGCUCUUCAAAAAUCCCCCGUUUGACCCCAAAAUCAAACUUUUUUGCUACAAGAGUCCCCCAUGUAUCCAAAAAAUCAUGCAUUUCCUCUACAAAAAUCUCACAUGUAAACGAAAAUCAUGCAGUUGCUCUUCGAAAAUCCCCCAUUUGACAGAAGAAAUGCAAUUUCUCUCCAAAGUCCCCCAUUUAACCGAAAAUGAGGCAUUUUCUCAUCCCUUCAGAAAAUAGCAUUUCUCUCGAGAUCCUGAUUAUCCCAAAAAUCACACAUUUUCCUCCUUCAAAAAUACCCCCCUUUUAAACCAAAAAACCUCACACAAUUUUCUCUAUGAGAAUCCCUGAUUUAAACUGAAAUCAUGCACGUUCUCUUCAAAAAUAGCUGUUUUAACCCCGAAAAUCACGCGUUUUCUCUGCUAGAAUCACCCCUUAACCCGAAAAUCAUGCACUGUCUCUUCAACAAUCCCCCAUUAACCCCAAAAUCAUGCAUUAUCUCUUCAAAAAUACCCCAUUUAAACAAAAAUCACACAUUUUCUCUUCAAAAAUCCCCCUUUACCCCAAAAUCAAAACUUUUUGCAAAGAUUC
rnacentral:lncRNA from 7 species